rnacentral:rRNA from 1 species
AUUGAACGCUGGCGGCAGGCUUAACACAUGCAAGUCGAGCGGGGGAAGGUAGCUUGCUACCGGACCUAGCGGCGGACGGGUGAGUAAUACUUAGGAAUCUGCCUAUUAAUGGGGGACAACAUCUCGAAAGGGAUGCUAAUACCGCAUACGCCCUACGGGGGAAAGCAGGGGAUCACUUGUGACCUUGCGUUAAUAGAUGAGCCUAAGUCGGAUUAGCUAGUUGGUGGGGUAAAGGCCUACCAAGGCGACGAUCUGUAGCGGGUCUGAGAGGAUGAUCCACCACACUGGGACUGAGACACGGCCCAGACUCCUACGGGAGGCAGCAGUGGGGAAUAUUGGACAAUGGGGGGAACCCUGAUCCAGCCAUGCCGCGUGUGUGAAGAAGGCCUUAUGGUUGUAAAGCACUUUAAGCGAGGAGGAGGCUCUUUUGGUUAAUACCCAAGAUGAGUGGACGUUACUCGCAGAAUAAGCACCAGCUAACUCUGUGCCAGCAGCCGCCGUAAUAC